UGUUGACAUCCACAGGUCGUGUCGACAGAGUUCUAUGAACACGAUGAUUAUAUGCUUUGACCAGAGGCUGUAAAACUUAUCCGGUCCAACGUGCCCGAAGGAUCAUCGUCAUCAUCAUUGCAUCAGUGUACAAACACGUCAGGACUUCGAUCCUUAUGGUGAAGGGGCACAUUUCAUCGCAUUUUAUGCCAGUGGGCUCGG